rnacentral:rRNA from 1 species
AUUGAACGCUGGCGGCAUGCUUUACACAUGCAAGUCGAACGGUAACAGGCCGCAAGGUGCUGACGAGUGGCGAACGGGUGAGUAAUACAUCGGAACGUGCCCAGACGUGGGGGAUAGCUCGGCGAAAGCCGGAUUAAUACCGCAUAAGCUCUGAGGAGGAAAGCGGGGGACCGUAAGGCCUCGCGCGUUUGGAGCGGCCGAUGGCAGAUUAGGUAGUUGGUGGGGUAAAGGCUUACCAAGCCUACGAUCUGUAGCUGGUCUGAGAGGACGACCAGCCACACUGGGACUGAGACACGGCCCAGACUCCUACGGGAGGCAGCAGUGGGGAAUUUUGGACAAUGGGCGAAAGCCUGAUCCAGCAAUGCCGCGUGCAGGAUGAAGGCCUUCGGGUUGUAAACUGCUUUUGUACGGAACGAAAAGGCGCCUACUAAUACUGGGUGUUGAUGACGGUACCGUAAGAAUAAGCACCGGCUAACUACGUGCCAGCCGCCGCAGUAACAC